rnacentral:lncRNA from 1 species
CAUUAUAGAUUUUAUAUUUAAAUAUCUUUUAUCUAGGACUAGUUAGCCCUCUUGAGUCAAAAUUAUCCAAUUCUGAAGAUAUUCUCCUAUUCAAUAAUUAUCACGAUUCUAUUUGACUUACUCAAUUUUUGAUAGCACUCGAAGAUGACUUUGAGCCAGUUAGGGCAUCUAUCUUGUAUUGAACUCUUUUACCAUCUAUCAAUACCAUUUUUGUAGAAUUGAAAUAUGAAAAAAUAUGCCUCUGUAAUAUGCAUUUUUAGAAGCAAGACGGUAUUUUAGUCAUGACUUUCUUAGUACAUAAUAGAAAAUUAGGCAACUCUACUAAAAUAGAUUGUUCGAAUACUUGACGUGCUAACAAAUCUAACUAUUUCUAUGCUUAUUGUUAUACUCAGGGCAUAUUAUUGAUUUUUAUAAAAAUUUCAAUAAAUCUAACUCUUCUCAGCAUAAUACUGCAAUUACUGAUUUUUUUGAAGAUUCUCUAUCUACUUCAAGUCCAUCUAUCGAGCA